GCAGAAGGGCGUGGAACUCGAGCAAGCAAAAUCUCUCAUUGGACCAGCGAAAGCCGAUCAAGCAGUUGGAGUAGCUGCCCAAAAUUUCAGCUAGUAGAGAGGAAGGAAGCUCGACGAUUUGAGAAGUUUUCUCUUCCAAGAUUCAGUUCGUACUUCAUGUUAUUUGCAAUUGAUUCUUGCCUUGUUUUUACCUGCUAUGAGUGGCUAAAUUACUUACGCUUAGUUAGGCACUUAUGAAAC
rnacentral:lncRNA from 1 species